GAUGAACGCUGGCGGCGUGCCUAAUACAUGCAAGUCGAGCGAACGGACGAGAAGCUUGCUUCUCUGAUGUUAGCGGCGGACGGGUGAGUAACACGUGGAUAACCUACCUAUAAGACUGGGAUAACUUCGGGAAACCGGAGCUAAUACCGGAUAAUAUUUUGAACCGCAUGGUUCAAAAGUGAAAGACGGUCUUGCUGUCACUUAUAGAUGGAUCCGCGCUGCAUUAGCUAGUUGGUAAGGUAACGGCUUACCAAGGCAACGAUGCAUAGCCGACCUGAGAGGGUGAUCGGCCACACUGGAACUGAGACACGGUCCAGACUCCUACGGGAGGCAGCAGUAGGGAAUCUUCCGCAAUGGGCGAAAGCAUGACGGAGCAACGCCGCGUGAGUGAUGAAGGUCUUCGGAUCGUAAAACUCUGUUAUUAGGGAAGAACAUAUGUGUAAGUAACUGUGCACAUCCUGACGGUACCUAAUCAGAAAGCCACGGCUAACUACGUG
rnacentral:rRNA from 1 species